rnacentral:rRNA from 1 species
UACGGGGGGGGCAAGCGUUGUUCGGAAUUACUGGGCGUAAAGGGCUCGUAGGCGGCCAACUAAGUCAAACGUGAAAUCCCUCGGCUUAACCGGGGAACUGCGUCUGAUACUGGAUGGCUUGAGUUUGGGAGAGGGAUGCGGAAUUCCAGGUGUAGCGGUGAAAUGCGUAGAUAUCUGGAGGAACACCGGUGGCGAAGGCGGCAUCCUGGACCAACACUGACGCUGAGUGAGCGAAAGCCAGGGAGCAAACGGG